GACGAACGCUGGCGGCGUGCUUAACACAUGCAAGUCGAACGGAAAGGCCCUGCUUUUGUGGGGUGCUCGAGCGGCGAACGGGUGAGUAACACGUGAGUAACCUGCCCUUGACUUUGGGAUAACUUCAGGAAACUGGGGCUAAUACCGGAUAGGAGCUCCUGCUGCAUGGUGGGGGUUGGAAAGUUUCGGCGGGUGGGGAUGGACUCGCGGCUUAUCAGCGUGUUGGUGGGGUAGUGGCUUACCAAGGCUUUGACGGGUAGCCGGCCUGAGAGGGUGACCGGCCACAUUGGGACUGAGAUACGGCCCAGACUCCUACGGGAGGCAGCAGUGGGGAAUAUUGCACAAUGGGCGGAAGCCUGAUGCAGCAACGCCGCGUGCGGGAUGACGGCCUUCGGGUUGUAAACCGCUUUCGCCUGUGACGAAGCGUGAGUGACGGUAAUGGGUAAAGAAGCACCGGCUAACUACGUG
rnacentral:rRNA from 1 species